GAUGAACGCUGGCGGCGUGCUUAAUACAUGCAAGUCGAGCGGACAGACGAGGACCUUGCUGGUCUCACGAGAGGGGAGGACGGGUGAAAAACACGUGGAUACCCUACCUAUAUGACUGGGAAAACUGCGGGAAUGCGGAUAUAACACCGGAGAAUAUAUUGAACGGCGUGGUUCAAGAGAGAUAGACGGUUUGGGUUUAGCUUAUAGAUGGUCCCGCGCCGGAUUAGCUAGUUGGUAAGGUAACGGCUUACCAAGGCAAGGAUGCGUAGCGGACCUGAGAGGGUGAUCGGCCACACUGGAACUGAGACACGGCCCAGACUCCUACGGGAGGCAGCAGUAGGGAAUCUUCCGCAAUGGGCGAAAGCCUGACGGAGCAACGCCGCGUGAGUGAUGAAGGUCUUCGGAUCGUAAAACUCUGUUAUUAGGGAAGAACAAAUGUGUAAGUAACUAUGCACGUAUUGACGGUACCUAAUCAGAAAGCAACGGCUAACUACGUG
rnacentral:rRNA from 1 species